rnacentral:lncRNA from 1 species
GUUGCCAUUUCCUCCUCCAGGGGAUCUUCCCAACCCAGGGAUUGAACCCUUGUCUCUUGACUCUUCUGGAUUGGCUGGUGGAUUCUUUACCACUAGCACCAGCUGGGAAGCCUACAAUUAAAUAUACUUUUCUUUUUACUUUGCCUGGAUCCAGAAAGGCUUUAAGGGAGAUGCUAACUACAGCCUAGUCUUGGACAGACUGACUGGACUACUGAUGAAACUCUGAAUGUCAGGCGCAUGCAGAGCUCAUCUUCACAGAAAACAGCUGCAAAGCUUUCUUUAUACUAAAGUCACAGGUGAUCCUAGUCCACUGGUCACCAGGGAGUCUUGUUUCAGCCUAGGCAGCCACAGAAGCUUGUAGUAUCCUUGAUGAGAAUUCAGUCAAACCUGGGGUGGGGGCAGAGUUGUUAGACAGCAAUAUAUUGAAUGAACCAGACCCUUUUUCUUGGGAUGUUUAAGAAUGAAACACACAGAGACCCAUCUGAAGGGGGUGGAAAAACUAAAAGAAAGAGAGAAAAGGAUGCCAGCCAAAGCUAAGAUGAGGAAAGAAGAAAAAUCAGCUGAAAGAGCAUGUAAAGAGAUGACUAGAAACCUCAUCUCCCAAUUCUUUGGUCUUCUCUUCAUAGAAUGGAGCAGGACGUGA